rnacentral:rRNA from 1 species
AUGAUGGGUAGGGGAGCUUCCCAUACGGGUUGAAGCAUGACCGUAAGGACAUGUGGACAGUAUGGGAGUGAGAAUGUUGGCAUGAGUAGCGAGAUGUGGGUGAGAAUCCCACAGGCCGUAAACCCAAGGUUUCCAGGGGAAGGUUCGUCCGCCCUGGGUUAGUCGGGACCUAAGCUGAGGCCGAAAGGCGUAGGUGAUGGACAACAGGUUGAUAUUCCUGUACUACCGAUAACCGUUUGAGAGAAGGGAUGACACAGUAGGAUAAGCUAAGCACACUGUUGGUUAUGUGUGCCCAAGCAUUGAGGCAGUCAAAGUAGGCAAAUCCGCUUUGAUAAUGCUGGGAUGUGAUGGGGAGCGAAAUUUAGUAGCGAAGUAGCUGAUUUCACACUGUCAAGAAAAGUCUCUAUCGAGGUUAAAGGUACCCGUACCGCAAACCGACACAGGUGGGUGAGGAGAGUAUCCUAAGGCCAGCGAGAGAACUGUUGUUAAGGAACUCGGCAAAAUGACCCCGUAACUUAGGGAUAAGGGGUGCCACCAUCAGGUGGCCGCAGAGAAUAGGCCCAAGCGACUGUUUACCAAAAACAUAGGUUUCUGCUAAGUCGCAAGACGAUGUAUAGGAGCUGACGCCUGCCCGGUGCUGGAAGGUUAAGGGGAUCUGUUAGAGCAAUCGAAGCAGUGAACUUAAGCCCCAGUAAACGGCGGCCGUAACUAUAACGGUCCUAAGGUAGCGAAAUUCCUUGUCGGGUAAGUUCCGACCCGCACGAAAGGCGUAACGAUUUGGGCACUGUCUCAACAACAGACUCGGUGAAAUUGUAAUUCCGGUGAAGAUGCCGGAUACCUGCGACAGGACGGAAAGACCCCAUGGAGCUUUACUGUAGCUUGACAUUGGGUCUUGGUACUACAUGUACAGGAUAGGU